ACCUGAAAAUAAACCUUUUUUCUGCUGAUCUUGGGAAGUAUGAAUUUUAUGAGGAGACUGUCCACCUCCAGCCCUGUUUUACAGAUACAAGAAGACUGGCUAGAUCUUUUAGUUGUUAAGGAAAGCAGUGGGGUUUAAUACUGAAGGUGUAAGGAAGAAGCACUGGUAGGAUCAAUGGGAUUACCAGAGAAGAGUUUCAAGUCCCUCCAUAGCUGACUUCAUGCUGUACCAGAAUAUACCUUUUAAGAUAAUUCCAUUAGAAUAAGAGGAUUUAAUACCCUCUUCUUGGUCUUCAAUCAAUAACCAUUACGUAAAAAAGGAGCCCAGGAGAUUGUAUUUAGGAUUAUCCUCAUUCGGCAAGGAUUUAUUUAAUUUGGAUUCCAAACAAUUUCUGUGUAACUUGAAGACAUACUUAAAAAUAAAAUGAAACAGUAAUUUCUACAGGUUAGAGAAGUCCAGAAUGGGCAAUCUGCUCACCUAUGUCGGGAGCCUUCCAUGAAAACAGCCAGCUAGGAGAACAGAAGGAGAUGCAAGUUCCAUGAAGGAUCAUAAGUGGAUUCCCUCCUCUGUGCCCUUGAGCACUUUAGACCUCUCUCAUUAAAAAUUUUUAUC